CUCAGAUUCGGAUUGGAGCUCUUGGGGAGGCUGUUGAAUUUGUCCUGAGUUUCCUACUAGAGAUGCUGAAUGGCUAGGCCUGUCUAAUUGGUUAGUGCCGUCCGGAAGGGCUCGGGGAUCUGGGCUUCUCGACAGUUUGGUUAGGAGGACCGUGACUCACGAAUCACGUGCGCCAGGACCCAGGGUGGAAGGCUGCACACGGAUCUUGUGGAGUUCCCUGCGCAGCUCGAGACAUUGUAAAUGCGGUUUGUUGACAGGAGUGUCAGUAUCCGAAUGGAGUUAGAAGAAGUAGGUGGAAGUUGGGAAGGAAUAGUGGAUUUAAAGGGAAUUUUUGACAUUUAGUUUAGCAAUGUAUUCAGCCUUUCUAGAUCUUAAAAAAAAAUUGAGGCACGAUUCAUUACAUAUGCGCUUAAAGUGUACAAUUCUGUAGUUUUUAGUAUAUGCUCAAGGUAGUGCAACCAUCACCGAAUUCUUAUUACAGAACAUUCUCAUCACUCAAAAAGAACCUAGAAGCUAGUUAGCAGAGACGUACCUGAGAUUACAGGCAUGCAUCACUGUGUCUGACUUGAUUUCGCAUCACCCUUCUACAGUUCUUGUCUAUGAAAUUACCAGCCAUGUAUACACAUAUACACAUAUAUGUAUGUGUGUAUAUAUAUAUAUAUGUGUGUGUGUGUAUAUAUAUAUGGAAUCAUACAAGAUUUGUCUUUUCCUGUAUGGUUUAUUUCAUGUAGCAUAUUUUCAAUACUUUUUGUAUUUUGCAUGUAUCAGGACUUCAUUCUUUUUUUAUGAACUAAUAAUCAGUUGUAUGGAUAUACCACAUUUUGUUUCUCCCUUAGCUGAUGGACAUUGGUGGUUUCAUAGACUUUUAAGGUCUUUAAUUCCCCCACAGAACUAGCAUUCGCAGGCACAAACAUUUUAAGCUUAAGUUCUCAAAAACCAUCGUUUGACUCUGGUUUUGGGUCAGGCAUUUCAGUGGCCACAGGUUUGUGUCUUUUAGAGCAGUUUGUUUUUUUUAAAAGCCUUAUAUUCCCAGUUCAUC
rnacentral:lncRNA from 1 species